AUUGAACGCUGGCGGCAUGCCUUACACAUGCAAGUCGAACGGCAGCACGGGGGCAACCCUGGUGGCGAGUGGCGAACGGGUGAGUAAUACAUCGGAACGUGUCCUGUAGUGGGGGAUAGC
rnacentral:rRNA from 1 species